GCUAAGAGAUAUUUUCUUUUGCUCUUGGUAGGUAAGCAAAGUUGGGGCUGGACAGGAUUUGGAUGGGGGACCACUCAGAAAUUUCAGGGGCUCUUGGUU
rnacentral:rRNA from 1 species